rnacentral:rRNA from 1 species
CCUACGGGAGGCAGCAGUAGGGAAUCUUCCACAAUGGACGAAAGUCUGAUGGAGCAACGCCGCGUGAGUGAAGAAGGGUUUCGGCUCGUAAAGCUCUGUUGGUAGUGAAGAAAGAUAGAGGUAGUAACUGGCCUUUAUUUGAUGGUAAUUACUUAGAAAGUCACGGCUAACUACGUGCCAGCAGCCGCGGUAAUACGUAGGUGGCAAGCGUUGUCCGGAUUUAUUGGGCGUAAAGCGAGUGCAGGCGGUUCAAUAAGUCUGAUGUGAAAGCCUUCGGCUCAACCGGAGAAUUGCAUCAGAAACUGUUGAACUUGAGUGCAGAAGAGGAGAGUGGAACUCCAUGUGUAGCGGUGAAAUGCGUAGAUAUAUGGAGGAACACCAGUGGCGAAGGCGACGAUCUGGCCUGCAACUGACGCUCAGUCCCGAAAGCGUGGGGAGCAAAUAGGAUUAGAUACCCGAGUAGUC